GGAUACUUAUACAUAUACUAAAAUUGGAACAAUACAGAGCAUGGCCCCUGCACAAGGAUGACAUACAGAUUCAUAAAGCAUUCUGUAAUAGG
rnacentral:snRNA from 1 species